rnacentral:rRNA from 1 species
UACGUAGGGGGCAAGCGUUAUCCGGAUUUACUGGGUGUAAAGGGAGCGUAGACGGAGCAGCAAGUCUGAUGUGAAAACCCGGGGCUCAACCCCGGGACUGCAUUGGAAACUGUUGAUCUGGAGUGCCGGAGAGGUAAGCGGAAUUCCUAGUGUAGCGGUGAAAUGCGUAGAUAUUAGGAGGAACACCAGUGGCGAAGGCGGCUUACUGGACGGUAACUGACGUUGAGGCUCGAAAACGUGGGGAGCAAACAGG